rnacentral:rRNA from 1 species
AUUGAACGCUGGCGGAAUGCUUUACAUAUGCAAGUCGAGCGGCAGCGCGGGGGCAACCCUGGCGGCGAGCGGCGAACGGGUGAGGAACAGAUCGGAACGUACCCAGUGGUGGGGGAUAACACAUCGAAAGAUGCGCAAAUACCGCAUACGACCUGAGGGUGAAUGGGGGGGAUCGCAAGACCUCUCGCCCGUGGAGCGGCCGAUAUCGGAUUAGCUAGUUGGUGAGGUAAAGGCUCACCAAGGCGACGAUCCGUAGCUGGUCUGAGAGGACGACCAGCCACACUGGAACUGAGACACGGUCCAGACUCCUACGGGAGGCAGCAGUGGGGAAUUUUGGACAAUGGGGGCAACCCUGAUCCAGCCAUUCCGCGUGAGUGAAGAAGGCCUUCGGGUUGUAAAGCUCUUUCGGCAGGAACGAAACGGUGUGAGUUAAUACCUCAUAUCAAUGACGGUACCUGAAGAAGAAGCACCGGCUAACUACGUGCCAGCCGCCGCCGUAA